GACGAACGCUGGCGGCGUGCUUAACACAUGCAAGUCGAACGGUGAAGGGGUCUGCUUUUGUGGGCCCUGGAUGAGUGGCGAACGGGUGAGUAACACGUGAGUAACCUGCCCCCUUCUUCUGGAUAACCGCAUGAAAGUGUGGCUAAUACGGGAUAUUCUGGGUCUGUCGCAUGAUGGGUCUGGGAAAGAUUGCGCCUUUGGGUGUUUUUGGUGGGGGAUGGGCUCGCGGCCUAUCAGCUUGUUGGUGGGGUGAUGGCCUACCAAGGCGGGGAUGGGUAGCCGGCCUGAGAGGGUGGACGGUGACACUGGGACUGGGACACGGCCCAGACUCCUACGGGAGGCAGCAGUGGGGAAUAUUGCACAAUGGGCGCAAGCCUGAUGCAGCGACGCCGCGUGAGGGAUGGAGGCCUUCGGGUUGUAAACCUCUUUCGCCAGUGAAGCAGGCCUGCUCCUUGUGGGUGGGUUGACGGUAGCUGGAUAAGAAGCGCCGGCUAACUACGUG
rnacentral:rRNA from 1 species